rnacentral:lncRNA from 1 species
CAGAAAUUGAUGAGCUCCUCAAUCUAUGUAUCCGAAAUCAAGAUAUUUUGCUCCAUAUCUUCUUAUACAACAAAUAUAUCUCUACAUAAUCAGAAUUAAACAUAAAAAUCAUAUAUGGAGGAAUUACGGAUAAACGAUCGUAAUAACAUAAAUUCAGGACUUCUCCUAGGAUUAACCAAGAAUUGGGACUUAUCUAAAUAUCUAGACCCUCCAUUGGUCCACAAGACUUCUAGAGAGAGAAAAUAUAUGAAGAGAGAGAAAAUUUUAGAGAGAGAAAUUAGAGAGAAUCUUUGUAUCCUUCGGAUGAAGAAAUCAUGAUUGAAAUCAUCAGAGGUUCUAUCAGAGUGACUCAAUAUAAAUUAACCAUGAUCGAUAUUAUAAAUUUCGAAUAAAGAUCGAACCGGGAUCCAAUCUACUGUAUGAAUUUUGGAGCAAUCUCAAGACAUCAUAUUUUUAUCUUAAGUUUAUCCUAAGGUCCGUGAUGCAAUCAAAGAGAGAGAAUGACCCUAGAGAGACAAAAUUUAUAAAAAGAGAGAGAAAAGAUCUAGAGAGAGAAAAUAGAGAGAGAAUCUAGAGAGAGAAGAUGGAGAAGGUAGAGAGAGGAGAGAGGAAGAGAGAGAAAAGAGAGAGAAAAUUCUCUCUCUUUCUU